rnacentral:rRNA from 1 species
CCUACGGGUGGCAGCAGUGAGGAAUAUUGGUCAAUGGGCGCGAGCCUGAACCAGCCAAGUAGCGUGAAGGAUGACUGCCCUACGGGUUGUAAACUUUUUCUAUAAAGGAAAAAAUUGAGGUACGUGUGCCAUUUUGUCUGUAUUUUAUGAAUAAGGAUCGGCUAACUCCGUGUCAGCAGCCGCGGUAAUACGGAUGUUCCGAGCGUUAUCCGGAUUUAUUGGGUGUAAAGGGAGCGUAGAUGGGUUGUUAAGUCAGUUGUGAAAGUUUGCUGCUCAACCGUAAAAUUGCAAUUGAUACUGGAAGUCUUGAGUACAGUUGAGGUAAGCGGAAUUCGUGGUGUAGCGGUGAAAUGCUUAGAUAUCACGAAGAACUCCGAUUGCGAAGGCAGCUUACUAAACUGCCACUGACAUUGAUGCUCGAAAGUGUGGGUAUCAAACAGGAUUAGAUACCCCAGUAGUC